GCACCACAAGAGGUGGGACCUGCGGUUCAAUUGGAUUCAACGCCGGAAAACUCACCAGGGGCGACAGUUGGAUGAAAGCCAGGUUGACGACCUUGCCCGACUAGCUGAGAGGUGGUGCAUGGCCAUCGUCAGCUCGUACCGUGAGGCGUCCUGUCAAGUCAGGCAACGAGCGAGAUCCUCGCCCUUAGCUGCCAUCGGUGGAAAAGCCGGGCACUCUAGGGGGACCGCUGGCGCUAAGUCAGAGGAAGGAGAGGGCGACGGUAGGUCAGUAUGCCCCGAAUCCCCUGGGCUACACGCGGGUCACAAUGCGCAGGACAAUGAGAUGCAACCCCGUGAGGGGAAGCCAAACCCAUAAACCUGCGCUCGGUUCGGAUCGAGGGCUGUAACUCGCCCUCGUGAAGCUGGAAUCUCUAGUAAUCGCGUGCCAACACCGCGCGGUGAAUGCGUCCCUGCUCCUUGCACACACCGCCCGUCAAACCAUCUGAGUGAGGUUUGGAUGAGG
rnacentral:rRNA from 1 species